rnacentral:rRNA from 1 species
UACAGAGGUCUCAAGCGUUGUUCGGAUUCAUUGGGCGUAAAGCGCGUGUAGGCGGCCCGGUAAGUCCGCUGUGAAAGUCGGGGGGCUCAACCCUCGAAUGCCGGUGGAUACUGUCGGGCUCGAGUACGGGAGAGGCGAGUGGAAUUCCUGGUGUAGCGGUGAAAUGCGCAGAUAUCAGGAGGAACACCAAUUGCGAAGGCAGCUCGCUGGAACGUUACUGACGCUGAGACGCGAAAGCGUGGGGAGCAAACAGG